UGUACCCUGGGAUGUACGCCAGUUGACUAUGUCCUUGAGCCGAUAAUGCUGUACCCGGUAGCUCCUCGCUGGUGUUUGUGAGCAUGUCCGCAUGACGGAAAGCCUAAUAACAUCGCUGGGGCCACCCCUUGAACUUUAGGGUUCAAGGCCCACUCGACAGCGGCAUCCUGGGGCUUUA
rnacentral:other from 1 species